GACGGAAGGGGCAAGCGUUGCUCGGAAUCACUGGGCGUAAAGGGUGCGUAGGCGGCCGUGCAAGUCUGGCGUGAAAGCCCCGGGCUCAGCCCGGGAAGUGCGCUCGAAACUGCGCGGCUCGAGUGCCGGAGGGGAGAGUGGAAUUCCUGGUGUAGCGGUGAAAUGCGUAGAUAUCAGGAGGAAUACCGGUGGCGAAAGCGACUCUCUGGACGGCAACUGACGCUGAGGCACGAAAGCGUGGGGAGCAAGCAGG
rnacentral:rRNA from 1 species